rnacentral:rRNA from 1 species
GACGAACGCUGGCGGCGUGCUUAACACAUGCAAGUCGAACGGAAAGGCCCCUUUGGGGGUACUCGAGUGGCGAACGGGUGAGUAACACGUGAGUAACCUGCCCUUGACUUCGGGAUAACUUCAGGAAACUGGGGCUAAUACCGGAUAGGAAUCCUUGCUGCAUGGUGGGGGUUGGAAAGCUUCGGCGGUUUUGGAUGGACUCGCGGCUUAUCAGCUUGUUGGUGGGGUAGUGGCUUACCAAGGCUUUGACGGGUAGCCGGCCUGAGAGGGCGACCGGCCACAUUGGGACUGAGAUACGGCCCAGACUCCUACGGGAGGCAGCAGGGGGGAAUAUUGCACAAGGGGCGGAAGCCGGAUGCAGCAACGCCGCGUGCGGGAUGACGGCCUUCGGGUUGUAAACCGCUUUCAGCAGGGGCGAAGCUUGUGGUGACGGUACCUGCAGAAGAAGCACCGGCUAACUACGUG